ACCUGGAAUCAAAAAUAAGAGCAAAAACAAAGGCAUGCCAUGAAUUGGAUUUGACAAAUUAAAAGUUAUUGGAAAAUUUGUUAAACGACAAAUUCAUAUAUAUUAUUCGGCUGAAGUGCAUGUCAUCAAAGAGCUUCUUGUCUUGCGAGUGUGUACAACUCUGCGGCUGCCGCAUGUAUUCACAAAUUAACAUUUUCAUCGAAUUUUCAUGUUAGUUUGCGGCAACAGGAGAACAACAACACGACGACGACGACGACAACAAAACGGCAGCUGAAGCAAAUGCUAACUGCUACAAGAUCGUCGGGUUGACAUUGGAACUGUGUCGAACGUAUCUCAGUGAUAACAAUGAGAGGAGAGACUCUUACAUAAAUAUGGCAUUGGCUAAUUGGAAUUACAAAAGAGGCAUUUGAAAAAGCGCCACAACAACUGUCAAUAGGCACAGCGGGCGACAGACGGAAAGAUAAUAAAUAAAUAAAUGCUUAGAUAAAUGGAGAAUAAAUAAAUGGCGAUUGGAAGUACGCCUCACGCAUGCGCAAUGAGCCAGUGGACAAGAUCCCAGCCAAAUAGCUGAAUAUGUAACAGGAAGCAACCUAAUUGAGAGUCUAUCGGAAACCCCAUUUUGCUAUUGCAUUGCACUAGCAGGACGAUAUUGAAUAUCCUCUGCAGCGCAAAGACAAACAGAAGGAAGCAUAUUAAAACAUAAUUUAAUGAUACACACACACUCAUUUUUUAGGGUGUCCACUGAAGCUAUUAAAUGCCAAUUCCCAAUUUCUACGUGCGGGGGUGACAAAGCGCGGCAGCGCGAGGGGCGCGUAUUUACAGGAAAUGUGAGCAGCCCAGGGAAAUGAGGGCAUACUGGAAGCUAGGCAUAAAACCAAUUUCCGAUCAAGCGAAAGGGCAGCGAUGCAGUGAGGCUGAACGGGCAAA